rnacentral:rRNA from 1 species
GACGAACGCUGGCGGCGUGCUUAACACAUGCAAGUCGAACGGAAAGGCCCUGCUUUUGUGGGGUGCUCGAGUGGCGAACGGGUGAGUAACACGUGAGUAACCUGCCCUUGACUUUGGGAUAACUUCAGGAAACUGGGGCUAAUACCGGAUAGGAGCUCCUGCUGCAUGGUGGGGGUUGGAAAGUUUCGGCGGUUGGGGAUGGACUCGCGGCUUAUCAGCUUGUUGGUGGGGUAGUGGCUUACCAAGGCUUUGACGGGUAGCCGGCCUGAGAGGGUGACCGGCCACAUGGGGACUGAGAUACGGCCCAGACUCCUACGGGAGGAAGCAGUGGGGAAUAUUGCACAAUGGGCGGAAGCCUGAUGCAGCAACGCAGCGUGCGGGAUGACGGCCUUCGGGUUGUAAACCGCUUUCGACUGUGACGAAGCGUGAGUGACGGUAAUGGGUAGAGAAGCACCGGCUAACUACGUG